GACAGAGGUGCCGAGCGUUAGGCGGAAUCACUGGGCUUAAAGCGUGUGUAGGCGGACCGUUAAGUACCUUGUGAAAUCCCACGGCUCAACCGUGGAACGGCUGGGUAUACUGGCGGUCUUGGGCCACCUAGGGGUCAUCGGAACAGGCGGUGGAGCGGUGAAAUGCGUAGAUAUCGCCUGGAACGCCGACGGUGAAAACAGAUGACUGGGGGUGUGCCGACGCUGAGACACGGAAAGCCAGGGGAGCGAACGGG
rnacentral:rRNA from 1 species